UACGGAGGGUGCAAGCGUUAUCCGGAUUCAUUGGGCGUAAAGAGCGCGCAGGCGGCUUGGUAAGUCGGAUGUGAAAUCCCGAGGCUCAACCUCGGGUCUGCAUCCGAUACUGCCCGGCUAGAGGUAGGUAGGGGAGAUCGGAAUUCCUGGUGUAGCGGUGAAAUGCGCAGAUAUCAGGAGGAACACCGGUGGCGAAGGCGGAUCUCUGGGCCUUACCUGACGCUCAGGCGCGAAAGCGUGGGGAGCAAACAGG
rnacentral:rRNA from 1 species